GCGGAAGUAGUUCAGUGGUAGAACACCAGCUUCCCAAGCUGGAUGUCGCGGGUUCAAGUCCCGUUUUCCGCUCCA
rnacentral:tRNA from 1 species